CGAAUUUCAGAAAUUUCCUUACUGCUUACUGUCACAAAAAAUGAUGAAAAAUACCCUUAUUUUCUGUGACGUCCGAAAUUUGACGGUUUUUGUUCAAUUUCGCCAUAUUUUCGGACCGCCAAAAUUUCGGUCGUCGCAAAUAAGGCCGCCAUAAAUAUGUCUUGUAAGGUAAAUGAUUUGUGAUCAGGCUAGUCGAGGAUUAUGAGCUCGAUUCAUUUUUAAGAGCUACCAGCGUAAGUAUAUGCGAACUUCAAGUUCCUCUAUUAGUCUGGGGAUCUAGGCUAAGGUUAAGGGGUCUAGUAUUUAACAACUAUAGUUGUUUCUAAUAAAAGGGAGUGAUAUCUAUAAGUACAAAGUCAGUUUCAAGAUAAUUCAAGACCCUUCAGGUCCCAUUUAGCCCAGUAUAGCUUAUAUAAUAUAUAGUAUCCACUGUUGAUUCCACAAAUUUUGAUUGUCAUCAGCUUGUCAAUGAAUUUAGUUAGAUUUAGAAUAGAGAUCCCCAGACUAGUCUAGUGUUGACUAUUUCAUAACUUUUGUUUUUCAGUAUUUGUGUAAUACCAAGUCAUACGUGAAUAUUUAAUGUAAAUUGAACUACUUUUAAUUAAAUGAUUCAAGUCAUUUUAUAUGUAUAAUGUUAAUAAGAUAAAUUUACGAUAAUCACAAUUCAAGUUACUGUUUUACCGCUUUAUGUUCAAAUUUUAUACUACUUUAAACAUUGAACAUGACACACAGUUAGCCCAAGUAUAUGGGACAUGACUUAACCCUAAUUUAUUCUGUCAAUUUAUUCAAAUAAUUUUGAUCUUAAAACAUUGACACUCUAAUUUGAUUCAGUCUUACCUUAUUAGCUAUUAUAUAGCUAACAUAGCUCUUACAUAAUGAUCUUUCACAUAUAAGAACACUUUCAAUGUUUUAAGGUCAUAAAAAGCUGAAAAAGGUAUCACCUCCACGUGGUUUUCGGCGGGCAAUUAUGUUAAAUAUGAUCAGUUAAAUUGUUAUUUAAAAUGAUUAGUUAACAUAAGCAAACGGUACCACUUAAUUAUCUAUACUUAAGCAGUGGGUCUGGCCGUGGGGGGCUUUAUUUAUUGAAGAUGUAAAUGCCUGCUUCGUAAAUUGUACUAGCUAAUAGCUUAUACAAAUAAUCGUACAAUUUCUCUUAAACUGUUUCUGUAUAUAUGAGAGGAUUAGAAUUUAGAGCUGGAGCUCUUAUUUAAUAUAUUCACUCUAUUCUUGGAUUCACAGCAUUAAAUUUAUUCAUAGGUACGUACUGUGAUUUCAUUAUUUGAUUUGAAAUUUUUUGUAUUAACAUUAUUUUGUUUGAUGGUUCAGUGCAGUAGUAAAUAAUUACCAUUUUUGUAUCGUACAUUAUACUAAACUGAGGUGUCUCUGACAUUUCCACUAUGAUCAGAAAAGUCUGUAACAUUUAAUCUAUGUACCGAAAUUAUUAAGAUCUGUGUAAUGUAUGUAUUUUCAGUUGAGAUUGGUUCGGGAGCUAAAGCAAAAGUUGUUGAAUCGUGAGAAACCCUAAUAUAAUCCCUAUUCACAGAACUUGCAGCGUACUGUAUACUAUCGUGUCUCUCACAUUUCCAUUUUCCACCAUGAUCAGAAGUUGAGAUUGGUUCGGGAGCUAAAGCAAAAGUUGUUGAAUCGUGAGAAACCCUAAUAUAAUCCCUAUUCACAGAACUUGCAGCGUACUGUAUACUAUUGUGUCUCUCACAUUUCCAUUUUCCACCAUGAUCAGAAGGACUGACUAGAUGCGGAAGCAGUGGUUAAGGAUAUGAGGAAGCCAGAAUAAGAACUAUACUUCACAGAUAUUCGUUUCACAGACCAUGAAAUAGGCCACACCAUCAGAAACCUGGAGGAGUGGAUGUCUCCUUCCAAAAUAAAGACGGACGCUUCACAAACUACAAAUCUGUGCACUGCCGGAACGCUGGUAUGGAGUUCGCUAACGACGUCAGAUAUCCUCCAUUUAAAAACAGCAAGCUAAAAGAUUUCCUCUACACUUUCUUGUUCUACAACUCAGGUUUAUACAACCCCCGGAAGUACAGAGAAAAGAGCAUACACAGUGUGGAAUCUCGAUAGCCUCUUAAGAGGACGUAAAAGCAACUCUGAUCUUGGAGGCUGGAAUUUCAACAAUUCCAGGUCACGAUUCUCAAACAAUGUCGAAGGUAAUGGAUAGCAGCGUCUAGAAAUGCCCACUGUACAACUGAGAAGUGCUCCUUUGUUGCCCUCCUUCUCCAGACACUACAUGUCAAUAGUCCGAACAAAAAGUUGUAAUAUAAGUAACUGCUAAGGAGGGAUUGUCGUUGAGAAAGGCAUUUAAAAGACCAAUCCAGAGCCUUCUGCCUUGUUCUUUUCACAGCAGACCAUCAAGUUUUACAACAGAUAGAAACAGAAUCCUUAGCAAACUGUGCCCAGCCCAAAACCUACCAAAUCAGACUGAUUAAAGCUGCUCAUAUCUGCUAUAUAGCAUCAAUUAAAAAUCAAUGUAGCGACGACUCCGAACUAAUCGAUGAAGAUGCGAUGCUGGUCGCUUCUUGUAUUAAAAAUAAUCUGAGACAAACAAUGUUAUUACUAUAAUAUUGUAGCAUAAUGACGCUUUGCGUAUAGCUGCUUUCCCAUUUCUAAUUAUGCAUUUCA